GGGGCUAAUUCUCGAUAGGUGAAGAACUCUGGAAUGAGUCUUUGCCAAAAAGACGUUUACGUUAUGCUCGUAGGCGUCGCCCAAGGAUGAGGCCGCGACCGAUCAGGUUGUUGGUGAGGUAAUGGCUCACCAAGCCUUUUACCGGUGCGGGCCGUGAGAGCGGGAGCCCGGAGAUGGGCACUGAGACAAGGGCCCAGGCCCUACGGGGCGCAGCAGUCGCGAAAACUUUGCAAUACACGAAAGUGUGACAGGGCUAUCCCGAGUGCCAUCCGCUGAGGAAGGCUUUUACCCAGUCUAGAACGCUGGGGGAAUAAGGAGAGGGCAAGUCUGGUGUCAGCCGCCGCGGUAAUACCAGCUCUCCGAGUGGUGUGGAUGUUUAUUGGGCCUAAAGCAUCCGUAGCUGGCUAGGUAAGUCCCUUGUUAAAUCCACCGAAUUAAUCGUUGGAUUGCGGGGGAUACUGCCUGGCUAGGGGACGAGAGAGGCAGACGGUAUUUCCGGGGUAGGGGUGAAAUCCUAUAAUCCCGGGAAGACCACCAGUGGCGAAGGCUGUCUGCUAGAACGCGCCCGACGGUGAGGGAUGAAAGCUGGGGGAGCGAACCGAAUUAGAUACCCGGGUAGUCCCAGCUGUAAACGAUGCAGACUAGGUGUUUGGACGGCCACGUGCCGUUCUAGUGCCGCAGGGAAGCUG
rnacentral:rRNA from 1 species